ACUUGAAUAGCUUAUGUUUAGAGCGCGACGCUGAAGAUGUCGAUGAGGUAUUUUUUUUUGCCUUUAAGUG
rnacentral:tRNA from 1 species